AAACCCAGCCAGCCUUUUGCAGUUUUGCUAUGCCUGUCUCCUCCUAUGUCGCUGCUGCGCCGAAACAGAUCCAGAGAGAGGUGAGGGGGAUGAGCUCGAGCUCGAGCUCUGUGGAGGGAGGAGAUGGCCGGGAAGAGGAACCGCUCCAGCGGAGGAGAAGAGGUCGACGACGAGAGGAACCGCCCGGGGGAGGAGAAGAGCUCGAAGAAGAGGGGAACGCUUCCUCGCAUGGUACGGCGGCAAGGGUGGAAAUAAGACGGCACAUAAUUGGGAAACAAAAUUGAGACCAUUCGUUGAGCAGUGGAGAACAGCAAGCUUGGUUCACUGGCACGAGGAGGCGCUCUUCGACCGAGCUGCGCAUGAGGCUCACCUACGGUGGUACCGGCCACAGAUGAGAUUGCGCUGCAUACCAAGAGCUGACCCUGAGGACAUGGAGACGGCUCACACUUCGGCUUCGGAGACGUACUAGAGUUCUUCAGUGACCAGCGUCAUAGAUCACUCGGCCCAGUUGAUGCUGGAGGCUCAAGAGGAGACUGCCGUGAUAAUUAACCGAGUGACCAUGGGGAUCGAAAUGACUCCGUCCGAGAAUCUAGCAGCGUGGCAGCGUACUUAGAGCAAGCUGCGGAGGAUCUUCGAGACUUUGAGGCAUAGGGUGCAUCUGACACCCUGUCUAGUCGCGAAGCACACACUCCCCCAUGCCCCUCACACCGUGCUAGGCCGAUGUUCCAGCCAACGGUCCGCCUGCUGCCUCCACCUUCCCCUAUGCAGUCCGGUGGCUCCUCCUGGUACCACCAACCUCACCCCCCUCCUGCUCAACUCUCAGUGAUGGUGACAACAGAUACUCCACCACCGCCGGCCUCACAGGUCACCCUGGCCAUGCCACCUCCGGCGCAAUCCCAUACCCGCAAGAGACAUCGCCAUCCUACUCGUAGUCGUAGAAGUGCUGCGCAGGGUUGUGGACAGCGAGGACAGGAGGACGAAACAGGUGCUUAGGACGAACAGACAUGAGCAGGUAAUACCCAAAGAUUCACAAAACCAUCAAGGAUGAUUAAAGCGACAGGAAAUGACCUUGACAGCAGCGUAGAUGGCGUCGCCGACAACAUCAGGCUCUAUCUGCCAUGUGCCGAGGCCGAUCGGUGGGAUCCUUGCACCGGUGUUCAGGAUGAAGGACCCGGCCAUCUUUGGAGCAAGGCAGGAGAGGAAGACUAUGGAAGAUGAUGGGUACGGUGGGCCUGGGUUUGGUUGUGGGGGUAUACCUAUUCGUUCUACAGCAACUACACAUAUAUUGUAUGCGACCCAGUGACCUGCUCACACUCCAUUAUCAGUGAUAGUAUAUAUAAGAUUAUAAAGGGUGACUGACCGACCGACCGACGGAUGAUUUUAUUUCCCUCUAUUUGUUUUUUCCAUUCACUGAAGCGUAGGGAGGGAGGGAGAACGUGAGUUGACUUGCCACGUUUGACCUGUCAAUGUAAAUAAAAUGCAGAGCUAUACGGGGAGCCAGUGGCCAUAUAAUCACCAAAUAUCGUAUUUAUUGACAGCAUUCUUUAGUACAAUUACAAAAGUAAAACCUGCUGAGACAAGUACAGUGAUCACCAGUACAUUUUACUUCAUAUUCAAGAUCAAUUUUGAAAAGUUAUAUGAUAGAGCUAAGUCGCCUUUUUGUUUAACAAGCGCUCAUAAUGAAGGGUUUCUCUCCUAAUGGUAAGGGGUAGUGUAGCCAUCAAGGUCAAUGAUGACAUUGAUUACUACUUCUAGACAAAGAAGGGCCUCCGACAGGGGGACAUUUUGCGUAAUACUGUGGCGGAUAUUCUUGCAAUCCUUGUUGAGCGUGCCAAGGCAAGGAAUUAACUUUAUUUAACACACAACCCUAUCAAAAAAAAAACUUUAUUUAA